UACGUAGGGUGCGAGCGUUUGUCCGGAAUUAUUGGGCGUAAAGAGCUCGUAGGCGGUCUGUCACGUCUGCUGUGAAAACUCGGGGCUUAACCCCGGGCCUGCAGUGGGUACGGGCAGACUAGAGUGCGGUAGGGGAGACUGGAAUUCCUGGUGUAGCGGUGAAAUGCGCAGAUAUCAGGAGGAACACCGGUGGCGAAGGCGGGUCUCUGGGCCGUAACUGACGCUGAGGAGCGAAAGCGUGGGGAGCGAACAGG
rnacentral:rRNA from 1 species